AUUGAACGCUGGCGGCAGGCUUAACACAUGCAAGUCGAGCGGGGGAAGGUAGCUUGCUACCGGACCUAGCGGCGGACGGGUGAGUAAUGCUUAGGAAUCUGCCUAUUAGUGGGGGACAACAUCUCGAAAGGGAUGCUAAUACCGCAUACGUCCUACGAGAGGAAGCAGGGGAUCUUCGGACCUUGCGCUAAUAGAUGAGCCUAAGUCGGAUUAGCUAGUUGGUGGGGUAAAGGCCUACCAAGGCGACGAUCUGUAGCGGGUCUGAGAGGAUGAUCCGCCACACUGGGACUGAGACACGGCCCAGACUCCUACGGGAGGCAGCAGUGGGGAAUAUUGGACAAUGGGGGGAACCCUGAUCCAGCCAUGCCGCGUGUGUGAAGAAGGCCUUAUGGUUGUAAAGCACUUUAAGCGAGGAGGAGGCUACUCUAGUUAAUACCUAGGGAUAGUGGAUGUUACUCGCAGAAUAAGCACCGGCUAACUACGUGCCAGCCGCCGCGGUAA
rnacentral:rRNA from 1 species